rnacentral:rRNA from 1 species
AUUGAACGCUGGCGGCAUGCCUUACACAUGCAAGUCGAACGGUAACAGGUCUUCGGUUGCUGUCGAGUGGCGAACGGGGGAGUAAUACAUCGGAACGUACCCGAUCGUGGGGGGUAAGGCAGCUAAAGCUGUGCUAGGACCUCAUACGAUCUACGAAUUAAAGCCGGGGGGGGCAAGAGCGCGCGCGGGCGGAGCGGCCGGUGGCAGAUUAGGUAGUUGGUGGGAUAAAAGCUUACCAAGCCGACGAUCUGUAGCGGGUCUGAGAGGAUGAUCGGCCACACUGGGACUGAGGCACGGCCCAGACUCCUACGGGAGGCAGCAGUGGGGAAUUUUGGACAAUGGGCGCAAGCCUGAUCCAGCCAUGCCGCGUGCAGGAUGAAGGCCUUCGGGUUGUAAACUGCUUUUGUACGGAAAGAAAAAGCUCUCUCUAAUACAGGGGGUGAAUGACGGUACCGUAAGAAUAAGCACCGGCUAACUACGUG